CUCCUACGGGAGGCAGCAGUGGGGGAUAUUGCACAAUGGGGGAAACCCUGAUGCAGCGACGCCGCGUGGAGGAAGAAGGUUUUCGGAUUGUAAACUCCUGUCGUUAGGGACGAUAAUGACGGUACCUAACAAGAAAGCACCGGCUAACUACGUGCCAGCAGCCGCGGUAAAACGUAGGGUGCAAGCGUUGUCCGGAAUUACUGGGUGUAAAGGGAGCGUAGGCGGGACGGCAAGUCAGAUGUGAAAACUAUGGGCUCAACCCAUAGACUGCAUUUGAAACUGUUGUUCUUGAGUUAGGUAGAGGUAAGCGGAAUUCCUGGUGUAGCGGUGAAAUGCGUAGAGAUCAGGAGGAACACCAGUUGCGAAGGCGGCCUACUGGGCACCAACUGACGCUGAGGCUCGAAAAUUUGGGUAGCAAACAGGAUUAGAUACCCUGGUAGUCCACACCGUAAACGAUGAUUACUAGGUGUUGGAGGAUUGACCCCUUAAGUGCCGCAGUUAACACAAUAAGUAAUCCACCUGGGGAGUACGACCGCAAGGUUGAAACUCAAAGGAAUUGACGGGGGCCCGCACAAGCAGUGGAGUAUGUGGUUUAAUUCGACGCAACGCGAAGAACCUUACCAAGUCUUGACAUCCCUUCACAGGCAUAGAAAUAUGUUUUCUCUUCGGAGCAAGGAGACAGGUGGUGCAUGGUUGUCGUCAGCUCGUGUCGUGAGAUGUUGGGUUAAGUCCCGCAACGAGCGCAACCCUUAUGGUCAGUUACUACGCAAGAGGACUCUGGCCAAACUGCCGUUGACAAAACGGAGGAAGGUGGGGAUGACGUCAAAUCAUCAUGCCCUUUAUGACUUGGGCUACACACGUACUACAAUGGCGUUAAACAAAGAGAAGCAAGACCGCGAGGUGGAGCAAAACUCAGAAACAACGUCCCAGUUCGGACUGCAGGCUGCAACUCGCCUGCACGAAGUCGGAAUUGCUAGUAAUCGUGGAUCAGCAUGCCACGGUGAAUACGUUCCCGGGCCUUGUACACACCGC
rnacentral:rRNA from 1 species